rnacentral:rRNA from 1 species
GGGUUGUGAGGUUAAGCGAAUAAGCGUACACGGUGGAUGCCUAGGCAAUCAGAGGCGAUGAAGGACGUGCUAAUCUGCGAAAAGCGUCGGUAAGGUGAUAUGAACCGUUAUACCCGACGAUAUCCGAAUGGGGAAACCCAGUAUCCAAUGGAUACUAUCAUUAACUGAAUCCAUAGGUUAAUGAGGCGAACCGGGAGAACUGAAACAUCUCAGUACCCCGAGGAAAAGAAAUCAA